UACAGAGGUCCCAAGCGUUGUCCGGAUUUAUUGGGCGUAAAGAGCUCGUAGGCGGCUUGUCGCGUCGACUGUGAAAUCCCGCGGCUCAACUGCGGGUCUGCAGUCGAUACGGGCAGGCUAGAGUUCGGUAGGGGAGACUGGAAUUCCUGGUGUAGCGGUGAAAUGCGCAGAUAUCAGGAGGAACACCGGUGGCGAAGGCGGGUCUCUGGGCAGAUACUGACGCUGAGGAGCGAAAGCGUGGGGAGCGAACAGG
rnacentral:rRNA from 1 species